rnacentral:lncRNA from 1 species
ACACAAACAAAGUCAGACUGCAGAAGCAGCCCUUUGGAUUCCUGAAGUGACAUCGGAGACCUAAGGCAGGUCCAAGAUAAUAAAGCAUGGAGCAGAUGUAGGGAUCAAGCAGAGCCACAUUCCUGCAUGAGCCGGACUUCCAGAAGGUGCUUGGCUGAGCUGGAGGCUCUCGUCCCAUCAUCCUUUUCCUC